AAGCUUGCUUCUUUGAUGACGAGUGGCGGACGGGUGAGUAAUGCUUGGGAAUCUAGCUUAUGGAGGGGGAUAACUACGGGAAACUGUAGCUAAUACCGCGUAAUAUCGAAAAGAUUAAAGUGUGGGACCUUCGGGCCACAUGCCAUAGGAUGAGCCCAAGUGGGAUUAGGUAGUUGGUGAGGUAAAGGCUCACCAAGCCGACGAUCUCUAGCUGGUCUGAGAGGAUGACCAGCCACACUGGGACUGAGACACGGCCCAGACUCCUACGGGAGGCAGCAGUGGGGAAUAUUGCGCAAUGGGGGCAACCCUGACGCAGUCAUGCCGCGUGAAUGAAGAAGGCCUUCGGGUUGUAAAGUUCUUUCGGUAGCGAGGAAGGCAUUUAGUUUAAUAGACUAGGUGAUUGACGUUAACUACAGAAGAAGCACCGGCUAACUCCGUG
rnacentral:rRNA from 1 species